rnacentral:lncRNA from 1 species
GGACGAGUGCCCGAGAGCAGUCAAUCCGCAAGUAUGCAGAGGAACCGACAAAAAGUGUAGUUUGUCCUGAACUAUGACUUAGUUUCGACUCACUUGGCGAGGCGUACUACUUCUACAAUAUGUAUUCGUGGGAGAUCGGGUUAGGGAUAAGGUAUGGCAAGCGCCCUAUAACGGUGUCAAUCCUCCAAGGCUCCAACCCCCAGGUUUGGUUUUCAUCUGCCUUAUUUUCUUUUGUUCCUUCUGGCGAUGCAUUGAUUUAGUGCAUGGAUGCACAACAGGAAGAUUGGAUGCUAGAUUUGCUAAGUUCUGUGAACAUGUUAGAUGGAACUAAAUUAAGCAUGCUAUUUGCUGAUUUUUUUUUCUGAUAUGCACACACUAACAGUGGCAUACAUGGUCGCUUAGUGAAAUUCUUUCUUAAUGUAAUUGUAUCUGGCACAGCCAAAUAGGGAAAUCAGUGUUUGUUUUUUCUGAUGGAACAGAGAAACCACAUGUUGCAUGGAUGGGGAAAAAAAUCUAAGUAUUGUCCAGCUCUUUCGUUGCAAACUUUCAUGCUCCCAAACAGGGUGACAGAAUGUCGUGGCUACUGAAUAUGUUGGUCCUGCUGUAUUUAGCUACCUGUUGUACUACUAUAACUUCCAUAUUUGACUAUUAGAUUCCAUAUUAGGAUCAAGUUCGCGUUCGAGGAACAAUGUAUGAACAUGCUCCAAUGAAAAUGUGGUAAUUGGGUGCCAGUUGAUUAUUAUUAAUGUGUGAAAUCAUGCCGAUCAAACUGGACAACUCAUCCUACUAUGAAUUAGGAUAUCAAUUUGUAAUCCUUUGUGCAUUGCCAUAGAGUGUAUUUAUCAACAUGGACAGCAUGAGCCUACAAUUGUUUGUAUCUCUUCAUUGUUAGCGUAUAUGAAAUUUUAUUUGACCUUUAUAUCUGUUUUUUUUCUUUUAAAGUAGUUUAUACUCUUAAUUAUCAUAAUUCCUCUUAUUAGCCCGAAGAUUUAAGAGAUAGAGUCCACUAGAAAGCGCUUGUGGAGGAUUGUUUGGGGGUUCUACAAUUUUAUUGGUAAUCUAAAGGUAAUUAAUAUAACUGAGUAUUCUGCCAUUUUUUUCACGAAAUGAUAUAAUUGUAUAAGAACUACUAUAUAUCUACUGUAAUCACCCUGCUAUUUUUGACCCUUUCAUUCUUUUCGAAAUACUUUGUGUAAAGAUUUUAGUAAUAUUUUGCCCAGAUGAAGUGUUUGCACCUUUGAUUCAAUUUUUUGCCUCACACCGGUGCAAAAAUCACAUACAUUUCCUCCUGCUAUUACCAAUAUCAUGAAUAUCUGUAGGGAAUCAACGUGAAGACUGUCUCCUACAGGAAGACGACUUCCUCUGCAGUUCCAUGUAAAUUUAUUUCAGCGAGGAGGUCAUCAUCAUGUCUAAACUGCCGACGGAAAAUGCAGCAUCACCUCACCUUUUGUUGAGUAGCAACAAUCGAGUAGUGGUAGUCAGCUUCAAAUCAUUUGAUGUUUAGGUUCCGAUUCUCUCUUAUCUGAAUAGUUGCAUGCAGCUUUCACUUUUAUAGGGGGUUACCAUCUUGCACAUUUAUAUAUCUGUGUGAUUACAUAAAUUCAGUUUUGAUUGUUCUUCCUUUUGCAGAUGUUUGUAUUUAGCUGAACCACCGUCUACUUUUACUGUUUCCAUAUGAUAUUCUCCC